UUUUGUGAUCGUAACUCAGAGUAUCUGAGGGCUUGUGUUAUUUGUGGUGGUCUGUUCCCCCUUCUACUGCUGACUCCUCCUUUCUUUCCUGAAAUAGUUGAUAUUGCUGGUGCUUAUUACUGGACGCUAUUAGAGAGAGGAUAACUGCACUGUGGAAGACAAAUCUUCUCCAUGUUCAAAAUUGCAAGGCAGAUGGUUUUGGUCAGCUGUUGAGAAUACUCUCUGGGUGAACAGGUGGUUGCAUGCUUCCCAGAAAGGUGGUUCCAAAAUCAUGGAAGUGGGUCAACUCUCCCCGAGUCAGUGAACUUCUGCCAGCAUUUGCUUCAGUGAGCACGUCUGCUUCACAGGAGUAACCACAGGUAACAAACAACAUGUUCUUUGGGAUGCAGCACUUGCUCAUAUUCUUUAUGUUAGUAUUUCU